AACGAACGCUGGCGGCAUGCCUAACACAUGCAAGUCGAACGAGACCUUCGGGUCUAGUGGCGCACGGGUGCGUAACGCGUGGGAACCUGCCCUUAGGUUCGGAAUAACUCCCCGAAAGGGGUGCUAAUACCGGAUAAUGUCUUCGGACCAAAGAUUUAUCGCCUUGGGAUGGGCCCGCGUUGGAUUAGCUAGUUGGUAGGGUAAAAGCCUACCAAGGCGACGAUCCAUAGCUGGUCUGAGAGGAUGAUCAGCCACACUGGGACUGAGACACGGCCCAGACUCCUACGGGGGGCAGCAGUGGGGAAUAUUGGACAAUGGGCGAAAGCCUGAUCCAGCAAUGCCGCGUGAGUGAUGAAGGCCUUAGGGUUGUAAAGCUCUUUUACCCGGGAUGAUAAUGACAGUACCGGGAGAAUAAGCUCCGGCUAACUCCGUG
rnacentral:rRNA from 1 species